rnacentral:rRNA from 1 species
AUGGCGCCGGUGAGCGUGUUGUUGCGGAGGUUGAGGACGCGAAGGUUCACGCACAGCGAGAGCGUGGCGGGAAGGCCACCGGUGAGCACGUUGCUCGGCGCCGAGAGCUCCUGGAGCGUGCCGGCCAGCGCGUCGAACACCUCGGGCAGCGCACCAGAGAAUGCGUUGAAGGAGAGGUCGAGGCGGACGAGGCCGGUGAGGUUGCGGAGCCCCAACGGGAUCUCGCCGGAGAUGGAGUUGGUGUGGAGGGAGAGGUACCGCAGCGACGUGGCGGCAAAGAGGUCAUCUGGGAGGGCGCCGGUGAUGCCGUUCCCGUCGAGCGAGAGCUCAAGAAGCGACCGGCAUUGGCCGAACCCGACAGGGAAGUCACCGGAGAGCCUGUUCAUGGACAGCCGCAGGACCCGCAGCCCCGGCGAGGACGCGCAGACCGCCGCGGCGUCCAGGGGUCCCUCGAAGCCGUUGCCGGACGCGUCGUACGCCGUGAGGUUCACGGCGCCGGGGAGCACCGGGUGGCUGCCGUUGAACGCGUUGUACGACACGUUGAACACCAGCGCCGCCGGGAGCUCGAGCCCGAGCCCGAUCGCGCCGGCGAGCGCGUUGGAGCUGACGUCGAGCACCUCGAGUCGGCGCAGCCGGAGGAGCGCGGGCGGGAGCGCGCCCCGCAGCGCGUUGCCGGAGAGGUUGAGCACGCGGAGCGCCGCCAGCCCGGCGAGCGACGCGGCCACCUCCCCCCGAAGCGUCCGGUUCGGCAGCACCACCCCGACGACGCCCGCGCGGCCGCAGAGCACGCCAGGCCACGCGCAGCAGCCGCCUUCAUCGUCAUCAGCGACGGCCGGCCAUCCAUCCACAGUGGCAUCAAGGCCCGCCGAGAACCCUCUGAGCGCGGCGAGGUCACCGGCCCCGCACCGCAGUGAUGGCUGCGCCGCGCCGCUCAGGCACCACGACAGCAGCACGAUCACCGGCAGCAGCAGCGCCGCCAGCGCACCACCUCUGCCUCGCCCCGCCAUUGCUAGCUAUUGA